rnacentral:lncRNA from 13 species
CACCCAGGGAAGCUCCUGUGCUGACGGCAAGCUCCGAGAGCCAGGGUAUGCUCCAGCGGUGCGAGGCAUUGCUAGGCACAAGAGCCAGAGGCUCCCACCCUUCGGGCCCGCUCCCCGGCAGGACGCGCCCCCCAGCCCGGCCCACAUGGCCCGCGCUGGCCCUUUAAAUGCGCCAGUUGCCGCCUAGGCCUCAGGAGCCAUUUGGUGGCUGGGUUCUGUUUGCUUUGUGCCUCUCCUGUGCUGCCUUUCAGGUAGAAGAGAAUCCAUAACAAGAUAAAAAAAGAGAAGACAAGUUUUCUUUCCCAGUCCAGGAAAAAUAACGUGUUGGAUUAUAAUCUGCAAACUGUGGAAAGUACCAACAUGAGCAACAAGGGACCAGAGAAUCCCAUCUCAGCUACACUGACUGAGGGCCUGAAGAGAAAGAGGGGGAGACCAAAGAAGCAGCCACAGGAGGAUGCUGGAAACACAGCUGUUAUCCCACAGGAUGCUGUGGAACCACAGCCAGCAAAGAAACCCCGAGGAAGGCCAAAAGGAAGCAAGAGAGUGACUGCUCUAACUGGGGGAAAGGCAGAACCUUCUGCUGGGAAAAGAGGAAGAGGGAGGCCCCGCAAGUGGCCUCAAGCAGUGGUCCAAGAAGGAGAGUCUCAGGGAGGAAAUCCUCAGGAAAGCAGUGACUUGAAUUUGAACUCGGCACCAGCCACACAGGGUAUGAAAUUAGAUAAUCAUAAUUACACAAGACUAAACAGUGCAGCCACGCUCUGGCAAAGCAUGCACAUACCCACAAAGCUCUAGCACUGGCUGCAGCCUUUCUGGUAAAUCCUACAAACAGAGGAGCAUUUGGAAGGCUUCCAGGCCCAUUCCAUCUAAUUCAGUUGUGACUACUUCAGCAGAAGUGGAGGUAGAAAAAAAAGGAGAGAAGAAAAUCUCUGUCUUCCCAAGAAGUCACACAUCUGAGGUUCUGGUCACUGGUACAGGUGUGCAGCUCAGUGGAAUUUUCUGGCUGGUGUGUACAAAGUGAAAGUAGUCUAUUGUUAAUGUCUUGCCUUACUUGAAAAAAAUGAUGGAUAAAAAAAUCCCAUGGUAUUUGGGACAUCUUAGUACUCUGGAUUGACUCCAGAAUGCUUCCAUGCUGGUCUUCCUCUCUCUUCCUGGCUUGUACUCUAAGGCAGAGCUUGCAGGCACUGGCAGAGGUGCCUCAGCAGCACCAUGAUGGCACUGGCCAGUUUCUGUAGAAGGCUCAAUUUAUCUAAGCUUCUCUGAGAUGAGAUGCCAGAUGACAGUUAUCACUGCUGUAGGAAUGUACAGAUGCACCACCCAGAGCCCCAGCCUCACUUCAGCCCUGAGAAAGUACAAAUUUGAGUCCAACCUUUCAGGGCCAUUUCUGAGGUAGAUUCCAGGAGAACUUGUGUGCAUCUAUGUCCUACCUUCCAUGGGCCUUGUAGGAAGCUCUUCAUGAAAUGUUUUCCCUGGAGGCAGAAGGGGCCAGGAGCCCAGGGAAGGCAGAAGUUGCCUGGAUUGCCACGUGGCAGCACAGCUGCUCCCUCCUGCCGUUGGCGUGCGAAGCGAGCGAACCGACACUGGGCAGCAGAGCCCAGCCCAGCCCCGGGUUCUUAGAAAGUCCCUGGAAAUGCCACAUGAUU